rnacentral:rRNA from 1 species
CACGUAGGGGGCGAGCGUUGUCCGGAUUCAUUGGGUUUAAAGGGAGCGUAGGUGGCCUUAUAAGUCAGUGGUGAAAUCUCUCGGCUUAACCGAGAAAUUGCCAUUGAUACUGUAGGGCUUGAGUACAGAUGCCGUUGGCGGAAUAUGACAUGUAGUGGUGAAAUACAUAGAGAUGUCAUAGAACACCGAUUGCGAAGGCAGCUGACGAAACUGUAACUGACACUGAGGCUCGAAAGUGCGGGGAUCAAACAGG